UACGUAGGGUGCAAGCGUUAAUCGGAAUUACUGGGCGUAAAGCGUGCGCAGGCGGCUUUGCAAGACAGAUGUGAAAUCCCCGGGCUCAACCUGGGAACUGCAUUUGUGACUGCAAGGCUGGAGUACGGCAGAGGGGGGUGGAAUUCCGCGUGUAGCAGUGAAAUGCGUAGAGAUGCGGAGGAACACCGAUGGCGAAGGCAGCCCCCUGGGCUAACACUGACGCUCAGGCACGAAAGCGUGGGGAGCAAACAGG
rnacentral:rRNA from 1 species